CAAUAGCGUAUAUUAAAGCUGUUGCGGUUAAAAAGCUCGUAGUUGGAUUUCUGUCAAGGACAACUGGUCCGCCCUCCGGGUGAGCACAUAGUUUGGUCUUGACAUCUUGCUGGAAGCUGUUGCUGCACUUGGCUGUGUGGCGCAGUGUUCAGCACUUUCACUUUGAGGAAAUCGGAGUGUUUCAAGCAGGCACAUGCCUUUGGACACAGUAGCAUGGAAUAAUUAGAUUGGGCUUUUGCUCCAAUUUGUCGGUUUCUGGAGCUGAGGUGAGUAUUAAUGGGGAUUGUUGGGGGCAUCCGAAUUUAGCCGUCAGAGGUGAAAUUCUUGGAUCUGCUAAAGACGGACAACUGCGAAAGCGUUUGCCCAGGAUGUUUUCAUUG
rnacentral:rRNA from 1 species